rnacentral:rRNA from 1 species
GGAAUCUUCCACAAUGGACGAAAGUCUGAUGGAGCAAUGCCGCGUGAGUGAUGAAGGGUUUCGGCUCGUAAAAAUCUGUUGGUGGAGAAGAAAAGGUGUGAGAGUAACUGUUCACAUCUUGACGGUAUCCAACCAGAAAGCUACGGCUAACUACGUGCCAGCAGCCGCGGUAAUACGUAGGUGGCAAGCGUUGUCCGGAUUUAUUGGGCGUAAAGCGAGCGCAGGCGGUUUCUUAGGUCUGAUGUGAAAGCCUUCGGCUUAACCGGAGAAGUGCAUCGGAAACCAGGAGACUUGAGUACAGAAGAGGACAGUGGAACUCCAUGUGUAGCGGUGAAAUGCGUAGAUAUAUGGAAGAACACCAGUGGCGAAGGCGGCUGUCUGGUCUGUAACUGACGCUGAGGCUCGAAAGCAUGGGUAGCG